rnacentral:rRNA from 1 species
UACGGAGGGUGCGAGCGUUGUCCGGAAUCACUGGGCGUAAAGGGCGCGUAGGCGGCCUGGCAAGUCGAUGGUGAAAGCCCGAGGCUCAACUUCGGGUCGGCCACUGAUACUGCUGGGCUUGAGUCGACUAGAGGCAGAUGGAAUUUCCGGUGUAGCGGUGAAAUGACGUAGAUAUCGGAAGGAACAUCAGUGGCGAAAGCGGACUUCCAUGGACCGUACCGACGUUCGAGGCCAACGAAAUGACCGUGGGGAGCAAAGCACGG